CACAACGGCUUCGCUGAAGUGAUUCACCGGACGAACCACUUUAUUAUAUCCACUAAAAAGAGUCUUCACCAGCCGAGUCUCAUCUUCUGAGCACAACACCGGACCUGAAACAGAACCAGAGCUGAGGAACAUUUUCCCACCGAAGCUGAAAUCACAGCUGCAGAUUCCAGUGAUCCACUCGGCCGCCGUUUGAAACCUGAAUCCAUCGGAGGAGGACGGUGGAGCUGAGAUUCCUGGCUGGUGAGAAGCUUCUAACCAGCUGUGCUAAGCUAUUUUGAGCUAACGGCUUCAGCAGGUCACAACAGUUAACCUGCAUUUAACACCUGCUCCUAUAAAAGGUGCUUCCAGCUAACGGGGUGGAAGUGAUGUCCCAUCUGUGACAGUCCGUUACAUUUCUGUCAUUUGACUUCUGCUUUAACAGCUGCAGCAAAUCACAGAUCAGCAAUAAAAUACUUUCAAAAUGGAAGCGGUGAAAAAAUAAAUAUAGUCGUUUUGUGUUUUAUGAAACUUCACAUCAUGAUGCUGCCUCCACCGUGCUUCAAUUAUGAUGCUGCCUCCACCGUGCUUCAAUUAUGAUGCUGCCUCCACCGUGCUUCACAUCAUGAUGCUGCCUCCACCGUGCUUCACAUCAUGAUGCUGCCUCCACCGUGCUUCACAUCAUGAUGCUGCCACCACCAUGCUUCAAUUAUGAUGCUGCCUCCACCGUGCUUCACAUCAUGAUGCUGCCUCCACCAUGCUUCACAGUGAGGAUGGUGUGUUUGUGAUGAUGUUCAGUGUUUGGUGUCCAUCAAACAUAUCAUCUAGUCUGAUGGACAUAAAGCUCCAUCCUGGUCUCCUCAGACCAAAGAACCUUCUUCCGGGUGUCUUCAGAGUCUCCACAUGUCUUCUGGUGAACUCUAGUCCACAUUUAAUUGGAGCUUUUUCCAUCAGAGUCUUUCUCUUUGUCUCUAUAAAGCUUUGACUGGUGAAGAACUGGAUGAACAGUCUCUAACAUCUCAGCUGCUGAAGCUGGAACUCCUUCAGAGGAGUCAUAGAGUCUUGGUGGCCUCCAUCACUAGUCUCAGUUUCUCAGACUUCUCUUGUAGAUCAAUCAAGGAAAAUCAGUUUUCUUUCAGCAGCUAAUAAAAUUUGCAUCUUG